GCCAGUGUGGUGUAAUCGUUUGAAUGUCAGACUACAACUCUGGAUACCAGGGUUCAAUUCCCAGCUCAGCCA